rnacentral:rRNA from 1 species
CCACGGGCGCACGGCGGAUGCCUUGGCACAGGGAGCCGAUGAAGGACGCGGCAAGCUGCGAUAAUCCCCGGCGAGGAGCACACAUCCUUCGACCCGGGGGUCUCCGAAUGGGCGAACCCAUCCGUAGCAGUACGGAUAUCCCGACCCCGAACACAUAGGGGCCGGGAGGACAACCCGGGGAACUGAAACAUCUAAGUACCCGGAGGAGAGGAAAUCAAUCUCGAGACUCCCCGAGUAGCGGCGAGCGAAAGGGGACCGAUGGCCAAACCGUCGAGCGGGCAUACCCGGCAGGGGUUCCGCCGGCGGGGUUGCAGGGCCGCGCAUCCGGGGGCUGCCGCCCCCGGGCGCAGGUCCGGCUGGGGAGCGGAACGGCAUGGGAGGGCCGGCCGCAGCGGGUGACAGCCCCGUACGCGAACCCAGACCGGACGGCGCGACGCGGUCCCUGAGUAGGGCCGGGCACGUGAAACCCGGUCCGAACCUGGGUGGACCACCAUCCAAGCCUGAGUACUACCCUGUGACCGAUAGCGCACCAGUACCGUGAGGGAAAGGUGAAAAGCACCCCGGGAGGGGAGUGAAACAGUACCUGAAACCGUGCGCCCACGAGCAGUCGGAGCACCCUUCGGGGUGUGACGGCGUGCCUUUUGUAGAAUGAGCCAGCGAGUCGCUGGCGCGGGGCGAGGUUAACCGAAAGGGAGCCGUAGCGAAAGCGAGCCUUAACAGGGCGACUUGAGUCCCGCGCCGCGGACGCGAAGCCGGGUGAGCUAUCCGUGGGCAGGCUGAAGCGGGGGUAAGACCCCGUGGAGGGCCGAACGCACGUCGGUUGAAAACGGCGGCGAUGACCUGCGGAUAGGGGUGAAAGGCCAAUCAAACCCGGAGAUAUCUCGUUCUCCCCGAAAUAGCUUUAGGGCUAGCGUCGCGCGUUCACCGCCGGAGGUAGAGCACCGGAUGGACGAGGGGGCUUCGCCGCCUACCGAAUCCAACCGAACUCCGAAUGCCGGCGGCCCAGAGCGCGGCAGUCAGAGCAUGUGGGCUAAGCUGUGUGCUCGAGAGGGAAACAGCCCAGACCGCCCGCUAAGGUCCCCAAGUUCCAGCCGAGUGGCAAAGGAUGUGCGUCCGCCCAGACAACCAGGAUGUUGGCUUAGAAGCAGCCAUCCAUUCAAAGAGUGCGUAACAGCUCACUGGUCGAGUGGACAUGCGCCGACAAUACACGGGGCUAAGCUGGACACCGAAGCGGCGGGAUUUUGAUUUUCAGAAUCGGUAGGGGAGCUUCCCAUGGGCGGUGAAGCCGCCGGGCGACCGGCGGUGGAGCGCAUGGGAGUGAGAAUGCUGGCAUGAGUAGCGAGAGACGAGAGAGUAACUCGUCCGCCGUGAACCCGAGGUUUCCUGGGCAAGGCUAAUCCUCCCAGGGUCAGUCGGGGGCUAAGGCGAGGCCGGGAGGCGUAGCCGACGCGCAGCAGGCAGACAUUCCUGCACCGCGCACGCGGCGCUACGACCGACGGGGCGACGGAUGGGGGUGGCUCGGCGGGGUUCUGGACGUCCCCGUGAUGGAGCGCGGCCCGCGGACCAGGGAAAUCCGGUCCGCACGAGGGCGAGGCUCCGGACGAAGCGACUGAGCGAAGCGAGUGAGCCCGAGGUCCCUAGAAAAACCCCUAGGCAGGCGCGUGCGCGCCCGUACCGCAAACCGACACAGGUGGGUGGGUAGAACAUACCGAGGCGAUCGGGUCAACCAUGGUCAAGGAACUCGGCACAAUGGCCCCGUAACUUCGGGAGAAGGGGUGCCCGCGCGUACGUGAACGGACUUGCUCCGGGAGCGGAGGCGGGCCGCAGUGGAGAGGCCCAAGCGACUGUUUACCAAAAACACAGGACUCUGCAGAAGCCGCAAGGCGACGUAUAGGGUCUGACGCCUGCCCGGUGCCGGAAGGUCACGCGGAGGAGUUAGCCGCAAGGCGAAGCCCCGAAGCCAAGCCCCGGUAAACGGCGGCCGUAACUAUAACGGUCCUAAGGUAGCGAAAUUCCUUGUCGGGUAAGUUCCGACCUGCACGAAAGGCGCAACGACUUGGGCGCUGUCUCGACCAUGGACCCGGUGAAAUUGCACUGGUCGUGAAGAUGCGACUUACCCGCGGAAGGACGGAAAGACCCCGUGAACCUUCACUGCAGCUUGGCAUUGGCCGCUGGUCCCGCGUGUAGAGGAUAGGCAGGAGGCACAGAUCCGGAGGCGCCAGCCCCCGGGGAGCCGCCCUUGGAAUACUGCCCUCGCGCGACCGGCGUCCUAACCCGAGGCCGUCAACCGGCUCGGGGACCGUGCCAGGCGGGCAGUUUGACUGGGGCGGUCGCCUCCUAAAGGGUAACGGAGGCGCGCGAAGGUCCGCUCGGGACGGUCGGCAACCGUCCUUUUGAAUGCAAGAGUACAAGCGGGCUUGACUGCGAGGCCCACAAGCCGAGCAGGUGCGAAAGCAGGCUCUAGUGAUCCGGCGGCCCCGAGUGGGUGGGCCGUCGCUCAACGGAUAAAAGGUACUCCGGGGAUAACAGGCUGAUCUUGCCCAAGAGUCCACAUCGACGGCAAGGUUUGGCACCUCGAUGUCGGCUCAUCGCAUCCUGGGGCUGAAGUCGGUCCCAAGGGUUGGGCUGUUCGCCCAUUAAAGCGGUACGCGAGCUGGGUUCAGAACGUCGUGAGACAGUUCGGUCCCUAUCCUCCGUGGGCGCAGGAGAAUCGAUGGAGGCUGCCCCCAGUACGAGAGGACCGGGGUGGACGCACCUCCGGUGAACCGGUUGUCGACCAACGGCACGGCCGGGUAGCCGCGUGCGGCGCGGAUAACCGCUGAAGGCAUCUAAGCGGGAAGCCGUUCCAGGGAUUAGUUCUCCUUCCGGUAAGGGCCCAGGUAGACUACCUGGUCGAUAGACGGCAGGUGCAAGGACGGCGACGUCCUCAGCCGAGCCGCACUAAUCGCCCGAGCUCUUCCGGA